CUGCAGUGUGUGAAUGGAAAGAAGAAGGUUUUAAAUAAAGAAGGCAAAGUGAAUUACAUGCAGCUGAAGAAGGAUUUUGACCAGAAAAAGGCAACAAUACAGUUUCAUCAGCCUCAGAGAUUUAAGGAGGAGCUGUGGAAGAUUCAGGAGAAGCUGGAGUGCUACUUUGGGUCUCUGGUGGGGUCCAAUGUUUACAUCACUGCCCAGGGAUCCCAGGGCCUUCCUCCUCACUAUGAUGAUGUUGAGCCAGGUGACUUACUGUAUUUCCAAGAGGGACCAUCCACCAAGCUGACACUCCUCUUGGGACCUCCCAUUCCACACACGUGACCAUCAGUACCUACCAAAACAA